CGCCAAAACGACACAAAUGACUCAGUUCAAAUGAAUCAUUUUAUGGAAUCAACUCCCAAGAGCAGCAUUCCCCAGUCUGGAGAGAUUCAAUCAGCUCGACAGCCUCAAUCAACAGGUACUGCUGCUAAUGGCAUUUCUGGAACAGAUAAAAUCACCUCAACUUGUAAUUAUAUUUUAAUGAACUUUUUAUCUUCCUGUGGUUUUCACUAAUCUGACUGCAGUCCUCUCAAAGAGCAACUGAGGGGAUGAAUGUAAAAAUUAGGACACUGAGUAAUCCAUCCUGGUGUGUGACCUUUCGAGAAGAAAGCCAGUGUCAAGGGUUUUGAGGGGGGGGCAUUCUUUUCUUUCUUUCUUGUUUUUUUCUGUUCCUGCCUCCACCACCUCUUGUUCAUCAUGUCUUUCCGUAAGGAGAUGGAAAAGUAUCAGGACAUGGAUGAGGAUGAGCUUCUGCAGAAACUCAGUGAGGAAGAACUAAGGAUAUUAGAGGAUGAGCUUGAAGAACUCGAUCCUGAUUGCGUCCAAUUGCCCGAUUGCAUCAUGCUUCCUCUCCACCAAUGCCGAUCCCUGCUCUGAUUGAGGAGAACCAAGCUAACCCACGCCCCCUCCAACACAUGGGCUGCAUGCCGUAUGCAUCUUAUCACCUACACUUUGACAAGUGCAGUGCAGCUCAGCACUGUGUACGGAGAGACACACCCUGAGAGCACCUUUUUCUCAUCUCUGUGCAGGCGCCAUCAAUCAGCCAGCAGAGGUUGUAAUUGCAUUAGUUAUAAGAGAGAGAGACCCCAUCCGGCUUAGUCCCACCCAUAUCUGAACAACAGACCAAUCGUGGCUUCUCAGCCUUAGCCGGUAGGCAGAGCUGAGAUUCGAUACAAUGUAUUCGAGACCCUAGCUCUGGUUCCAGCGUGUGUUUUUACCGCUUCGCCACCUGAGCGGCCAGAAAUUGAUGUUUUCACUUGCCAGUCUUAUUUAUUUAAUGAGCUGUUAGGAGAAAAUGUUGCAUUUUAAUGGAUGUACGAAAA